CCUACGGGAGGCAGCAGUGAGGAAUAUUGGUCAAUGGGCGCGAGCCUGAACCAGCCAAGUCGCGUGAGGGAAGACGGUCCUAUGGAUUGUAAACCUCUUUUGUCGGGGAGUAAAAUACGCCACGCGUGGCGUUUCGAGAGUACCUUAAGAAAAAGCAUCGGCUAAAUCCGUGCCAGCAGCCGCGGUAAUACGGAGGAUGCGAGCGUUAUCCGGAUUUAUUGGGUUUAAAGGGUGCGCAGGCGGAAGCUCAAGUCAGCGGUAAAAUUGAGAGGCUCAACCUCUUCGAGCCGUUGAAACUGGUGUACUUGAGUGAGCGCAGAGUAUACGGAAGGCGUGGUGUAGCGGUGAAAUGCUUAGAUAUCACGCAGAACUCCGAUUGCGAAGGCAUCAUACCGGAGCUAGACUGACGCUCAUGCACGAAAGUGUGGGUAUCGAACAGGAUUAGAUACCCGAGUAGUC
rnacentral:rRNA from 1 species